rnacentral:tRNA from 1 species
GGACCCGUAGCUCAGUGGUUAGAGCAGGGGACUCAUAAUCUCUUGGUCGCAGGUUCAAACCCUGCCGGGUCUA